CCUCAAAAAUGAAAUUGAAGAACCUUAUCAUGAAGUUCCUUAAUGGAGUUGAGAUCUCAAUUUCUCAUAAAAAGCAUUAUGGAUAGCACAACAAGCUCCUAUGAGUUCAAGGAUAAGUAACUCUUUAUAAUUGCAUCUCAUGCAAUUUUUAACAUAAACUUUACCUUUAAAAUACUUAUAGCCUUGUGGAUAGCACAACAAACUAUAAUAUUUUAGUUAAGUCAUACCCUUCAAUUCUAUAUAGUCAUACCUGAAUAAUAUUAUCCUUGUGGAUAGCACAACAAGACAGCAUUAUCAUAAUAUAUCAUAAGCAUCCCUAAGUCAACAUCAUACCAAUCACUGUAGCAAGCAUUGUGGAUAGCACAACAAACUUAUUAUAGUUUUUGACAUACUCUAUUGAUCUAGUAUGAGC
rnacentral:lncRNA from 1 species